rnacentral:tRNA from 1 species
GCCUGGGUGGCUCGGUCCGUUGAGCGUCUGACUUCAGCUCAGGUCAUGAUCUCCCGGUUCGUGGGUUCGAGCCCCGUGUCGGGCU